ensembl:lncRNA
GUGUAACAUUGAUUCUUAAAUGAUGGUCUUUACUGAAAAAGUUUCAAAGAGUUUACACCAGCUGUUCAAGGUUCCAUGGCUGUUAAUAGGAAAGAAACCAUUCAAAUUGAGGUCUAUUGAGUUACAAAGCCCAGCGUUUAACCACUGUGCUGUACUGCCUUCCCAGGAAUAGAGCAUUAGUGGUGAGAAAGAGUUGGGCCCUUGUGUUGCUAGACUUUCAUGUACGAUCACCUCCAGAGAGCAAGAGGCAGGAGCUUGCUGCACUCCCAGAACCUAAGAGCCACUCAAUGCAUAGGAGAUGUGCAAACAAAAUUUAUAGAUAACUGAUAGAUGCAUGAGUGGGUGGAUGGGUAGGUGGAUGGAUGGGUGGAUGGAUGGAUAGGUGCAUGAGUGGAUAGGUGGAUUGGUGGAUAGGUGGGUAGAUGGAUGAGUGGAUGGAUAGGUGGGUAGAUGGAUGGGUGGAUGGGUUGGUGGAUGGAUGUGCAGUUGGAUGGGUAAGCAAAUAGUAAGCAAAUAGAUGAAUGAACAUAUAGGGAAACAGGGUCCCCGAGAGGCUAGUGACUCAUCUAAGAUCACACAGAAAGUCAGCAGUGGAGGAACCAGACAUCCUAUCUCUGCUCACUCCCUUAGGACAUCAAACAUCUGAGAAUGAAAUUGGGUGUUUUCCUUACAGUUGAGGGAGGCAGUGAGGAUGAUGGUGAUGAUAACUGCUCAAAAUGUGGGCCAGAUGCUUUAGUUCACCAAUUCAUGGUGUCUUCUCUAUAGCUUUAGGAAACACGUGCUGAGGUAUCCCCUCGUGCCACAAGGGUAUUAUCCACUUGUGUCAGUCGUGCCACAUGGUAAGUGUUAUUUUUGUCCCUAUCCUCAGAAGAGGAAAACAAAGCUCAGAGAGGUUAAGUAACCUGCCCUUGUCUUCCCACAAGGAAGGAGUGAGGACAGGUGCUAACCCUUUGUCUCUGGUGGACAGAUUUUAACUGCCUAAGAGCAUCAUAUAAAGUGGGCAGGAUUG